CCGAUAUCAGCCGAUAUCGCGAUCGGUAUCUGCGGCUGCUGAAAAAAUCAUGGAGACUCCAUAUAACGCUUAAAUAGUUGAGGUAUAUACACUGGAGCAACUCAAGUGCAUGUGUGACUUUUUGAGAAGAAACCACACAAGGCUGUUGGUUAGCAAUCACUAUGUAAAAGGGUUUGCAGAAACCAGACAGAGAGCCUGUGUGGAGAUGCUAUUGGCUGCCCAGGUCGGACUGCCUCCAACCUGAGGCGGUCUUGGAGUGAUCUAACAAAAGAGUGAAUGAUUAUGCUAGGAAUCAGACAAAGACUG